rnacentral:piRNA from 1 species
UAGAGUUAUCUGAGAGAAAGGAAGGUGGA